AUGGCUCAGAUUGAACGCUGGCGGCAGGCCUAACACAUGCAAGUCGAACGGUAACAGGAAGAAGCUUGCUUCUUUGCUGACGAGUGGCGGACGGGUGAGUAAUGUCUGGGAAACUGCCUGAUGGAGGGGGAUAACUACUGGAAACGGUAGCUAAUACCGCAUAACGUCGCAAGACCAAAGAGGGGGACCUUCGGGCCUCUUGCCAUCGGAUGUGCCCAGAUGGGAUUAGCUAGUAGGUGGGGUAACGGCUCACCUAGGCGACGAUCCCUAGCUGGUCUGAGAGGAUGACCAGCCACACUGGAACUGAGACACGGUCCAGACUCCUACGGGAGGCAGCAGUGGGGAAUAUUGCACAAUGGGCGCAAGCCUGAUGCAGCCAUGCCGCGUGUAUGAAGAAGGCCUUCGGGUUGUAAAGUACUUUCAGCGGGGAGGAAGGGAGUAAAGUUAAUACCUUUGCUCAUUGACGUUACCCGCAGAAGAAGCACCGGCUAACUCCGUGCCAGCAGCCGCGGUAAUACGGAGGGUGCAAGCCGUUAAUCGGACUUACUGGGCGUAAAGCGCACGCAGGCGGUUUGUUAAGUCAGAUGUGAAAUCCCCGGGCUCAACCUGGGAACUGCAUCUGAUACUGGCAAGCUUGAGUCUCGUAGAGGGGGGUAGAAUUCCAGGUGUAGCGGUGAAAUGCGUAGAGAUCUGGAGGAAUACCGGUGGCGAAGGCGGCCCCCUGGACGAAGACUGACGCUCAGGUGCGAAAGCGUGGGGAGCAAACAGGAUUAGAUACCCUGGUAGUCCACGCCGUAAACGAUGUCGACUUGGAGGUUGUGCCCUUGAGGCGUGGCUUCCGGAGCUAACGCGUUAAGUCGACCGCCUGGGGAGUACGGCCGCAAGGUUAAAACUCAAAUGAAUUGACGGGGGCCCGCACAAGCGGUGGAGCAUGUGGUUUAAUUCGAUGCAACGCGAAGAACCUUACCUGGUCUUGACAUCCACGGAAGUUUUCAGAGAUGAGAAUGUGCCUUCGGGAACCGUGAGACAGGUGCUGCAUGGCUGUCGUCAGCUCGUGUUGUGAAAUGUUGGGUUAAGUCCCGCAACGAGCGCAACCCUUAUCCUUUGUUGCCAGCGGUCCGGCCGGGAACUCAAAGGAGACUGCCAGUGAUAAACUGGAGGAAGGUGGGGAUGACGUCAAGUCAUCAUGGCCCUUACGACCAGGGCUACACACGUGCUACAAUGGCGCAUACAAAGAGAAGCGACCUCGCGAGAGCAAGCGGACCUCAUAAAGUGCGUCGUAGUCCGGAUUGGAGUCUGCAACUCGACUCCAUGAAGUCGGAAUCGCUAGUAAUCGUGGAUCAGAAUGCCACGGUGAAUACGUUCCCGGGCCUUGUACACACCGCCCGUCACACCAUGGGAGUGGGUUGCAAAAGAAGUAGGUAGCUUAACCUUCGGGAGGGCGCUUACCACUUUGUGAUUCAUGACUGGGGUGAAGUCGUAACAAGGUAACCGUAGGGGAACCUGCGGU
rnacentral:rRNA from 1 species